rnacentral:pre_miRNA from 1 species
AAAUAAACAUAAGUUUACUGACGUUUCAGGGAGAGGACUCCCUGAAAGGAGUCCUCUCCCUGAAACGUCAGUAAACUUAUUUUUAUUU